rnacentral:sRNA from 1 species
CAUGAAGGAGUUCUGUACGGGGUGGUUCGAUUCCGGCGUGCUCCAGA